GGACUGUAGCUCAGUGAUAAAGCACCUGCUCUUCAUGCAAAAUGUCCCAGGUUCAAUCCCUGGCAUCUCCA